GACAGAGGGUGCAAACGUUGUUCGGAAUUACUGGGCGUAGAGAGUGCGUAGGCGGUUCUUUGUGUCCGCUGUGAAAGCCCCGGGCUUAACCUGGGAAUGGCAGUGGAAACUAGAGAACUUGAAUCUGGCAGAGGGGGGUGGAAUGCCACGUGUAGCAGUGAAAUGCGUAGAUAUGUGGCGGAACACCGAUGGCGAAGGCAGCCCCCUGGGCUGAGAUUGACGCUCAGGCACGAAAGCGUGGGGAGCAAACAGG
rnacentral:rRNA from 1 species